rnacentral:rRNA from 1 species
UACGAAGGGGGCUAGCGUUGCUCGGAAUCACUGGGCGUAAAGGGCGCGUAGGCGGCGUUUUAAGUCGGGGGUGAAAGCCUGUGGCUCAACCACAGAAUGGCCUUCGAUACUGGGACGCUUGAGUAUGGUAGAGGUUGGUGGAACUGCGAGUGUAGAGGUGAAAUUCGUAGAUAUUCGCAAGAACACCAGUGGCGAAGGCGGCUCACUGGCCCGAUACUGACGCUGAGGUGCGAAAGCGUGGGGAGCAAACAGG